rnacentral:rRNA from 1 species
CCUACGGGAGGCAGCAGUGGGGAAUAUUGCGCAAUGGGCGAAAGCCUGACGCAGCGACGCCGCGUGAGGGAUGAAGGUCCUCGGAUCGUAAACCUCUGUCAGUAGGGAAGAACGGUCACUGUGCUAAUCAGCAGUGAAUUGACGGUACCUGUAAAGGAAGGAUCGGCUAACUCCGUGCCAGCAGCCGAGGUAAUACGGAGGGUGCGAGCGUUAAUCGGAUUUACUGGGCGUAAAGCGCGCGUAGGCGGUAUGUCAAGUCAAUGGUGAAAGCCCUGCGCUCAACGUGGGAACUGCCUUUGAAACUGGCAGACUGGAGUGUGUGAGAGGUUAGUGGAAUUCGUGGUGUAGGAGUGAAAUCCGUAGAUAUCUGGAGGAACAUCAGUGGCGAAGGCGACUAUCUGACACAUAACUGACGCUGAGGAGCGAAAGCGUGGGUAGCAAACAGGAUUAGAUACCCUGGUAGUC